rnacentral:rRNA from 1 species
UUUGAACGCUGGCGGCAGGCUUAACACAUGCAAGUCGAGCGGAGAUGAGGUGCUUGCACCUUAUCUUAGCGGCGGACGGGUGAGUAAUGCUUAGGAAUCUGCCAAUUAGUGGGGGACAACAUUCCGAAAGGAAUGCUAAUACCGCAUACGUCCUACGGGAGAAAGCAGGGGAUCUUCGGACCUUGCGCUAAUAGAUGAGCCUAAGUCGGAGUAGCUAGUUGGUGGGGUAAAGGCCUACCAAGGCGACGAGCUGUAGCGGGUCUGAGAGGAUGAGCCGCCACACUGGGACUGCGACCCGGCCCAGACGCAUACGGGAGGCAGCAGUGGGGAAUAUUGGACAAUGGGGGGAACCCUGAUCCAGCCAUGCCGCGUGUGUGAAGAAGGCCUUAUGGUUGUAAAGCACGUUAAGCGAGGAGGAGGCUACUGAGACUAAUACUCUUGGAUAGUGGACGUUACUCGCAGAAUAAGCACCGGCUAACUCUGUGCCAGCCGCCGCCGUAACAC